ensembl:lncRNA
GGUUCAGUGGUUAAGUCUCUGCACUUCCAAUACCUAAGAUCCCACAUGCUGCAUGGCGUGGCCUGAACAAACAAGCCGAAAAACCAGAGGAGAGGGGUGCUCAAGCUUGCGUAUGGAGCUAAACAGCUUACCCAAAGUGAAGAGGGACUGGGCCAACUUGGUCUAGGGCUGGAGUGCUCCUGGACUGUGAAGAGUCAACGUGCCGGCCACACACAGACCAGUUAUGUCGGCAUCUCUAGUUUAGAACCUGGCAUCAGUCAUUUUCAGAGGUCUACUCUAGUGGGUAGUGAUUUGUUUGAAGAAAUGGAGUCAGAGCCACCCAUCGUCAACCACAUGGAUGUCGUCACAUCCCAUCUAUGAAUGAAGAUGCGGUCAGAGACCAGGGUCAGUGAUGUAAGAAAUUACAUUCACCUAAGCCCUGAUCAGGGGACGAAGACUGGUGGAUAAUGGUGUUCUCUACCUUUCACAAUACAGCUAAGACUCUGCUCCCUGUUCCAGAGCAGAGCCAGGCAGUCUGGCCCCUGUGCCCAGCCUCCUCCUCCUUCUGCAUUUCUGUUGUCUCUUCUGUUUUGCUAACACAUAUAGUACUUGCUAUUUAUGUGCUGACCUGAGUACUUUACAGGAAUAAAGUAAUUUCAUCCUUCUGACCA